rnacentral:rRNA from 1 species
AUAACGCGUGAGAAUCUGCCUACAGGACGGGGACAACAGUUGGAAACGACUGCUAAUACCCGAUGUGCCGAGAGGUGAAACAUUUAUGGCCUGUAGAUGAGCUCGCGUCUGAUUAGCUAGUUGGUGGGGUAAGAGCCUACCAAGGCGACGAUCAGUAGCUGGUCUGAGAGGAUGAUCAGCCACACUGGGACUGAGACACGGCCCAGACUCCUACGGGAGGCAGCAGUGGGGAAUUUUCCGCAAUGGGCGCAAGCCUGACGGAGCAACGCCGCGUGGGGGAGGAAGGUUUUUGGACUGUAAACCCCUUUUCUCAGGGAAGAAGAAAGUGACGGUACCUGAGGAAUAAGCCUCGGCUAAUUCCGUGCCAGCAGCCGCGGUAAUACGGGAGAGGCAAGCGUUAUCCGGAAUUAUUGGGCGUAAAGCGUCCGCAGGCGGUUAAUCAAGUCUGUUGUCAAAGCGUGGGGCUUAACCUCAUACAGGCAAUGGAAACUGAUUGACUAGAGUAUGGUAGGGGUAGCGGGAAUUCCAGGUGUAGCGGUGAAAUGCGUAGAUAUCUGGAAGAACACCAGCGGCGAAAGCGCGCUACUGGGCCAUAACUGACGCUCAUGGACGAAAGCUAGGGGAGCGAAAGGCAUUAGAUACCCCCUGUACUCACGCGUUCC